rnacentral:rRNA from 1 species
GACGAACGCUGGCGGCGUGCUUAACACAUGCAAGUCGAACGGAAAGGCCCUGCUUUUGUGGGGUGCUCGAGUGGCGAACGGGUGAGUAACACGUGAGUAACCUGCCCUUGACUUUGGGAUAACUUCAGGAAACUGGGGCUAAUACCGGAUAGGAGCUCCUGCUGCAUGGUGGGGGUUGGAAAGUUUCGGCGGUCGGGGAUGGACUCGCGGCUUAUCAGCUUGUUGGUGGGGUAGUGGCUUACCGAGGCUUUGACGGGUAGCCGGCCUGAGAGGGUGACCGGCCACAUUGGGACUGAGAUACGGCCCAGACUCCUACGGGAGGCAGCAGUGGGGAAUAUUGCACAAUGGGCGGAAGCCUGAUGCAGCAACGCCGCGUGCGGGAUGACGGCCUUCGGGUUGUAAACCGCUUUCGCCUGUGACGAAGCGCGAGUGACGGUAAUGGGUAAAGAAGCACCGGCUAACUACGUG